rnacentral:rRNA from 1 species
AUUGAACGCUGGCGGCAGGCCUAACACAUGCAAGUCGAGCGGAUGAAGGGAGCUUGCUCCUGGAUUCAGCGGCGGACGGGUGAGUAAUGCCUAGGAAUCUGCCUGGUAGUGGGGGAUAACGUCCGGAAACGGGCGCUAAUACCGCAUACGUCCUGAGGGAGAAAGUGGGGGAUCUUCGGACCUCACGCUAUCAUAUGAGCCUAGGUCGGAUUAGCUAGUUGGUGGGGUAAAGGCCUACCAAGGCGACGAUCCGUAACUGGUCUGAGAGGAUGAUCAGUCACACUGGAACUGAGACACGGUCCAGACUCCUACGGGAGGCAGCAGUGGGGAAUAUUGGACAAUGAGCGAAAGCCUGAUCCAGCCAUGCCGCGUGUGUGAAGAAGGUCUUCGGAUUGUAAAGCACUUUAAGUUGGGAGGAAGGGCAGUAAGUUAAUACCUUGCUGUUUUGACGUUACCAACAGAAUAAGCACCGGCUAACUUCGUG